GCGACGGGGCCGCCUCCUCCUCCUCCCCCUCCUCCUCCACCACCUUCUCGCCCUCGCUCUAGUCCACGGCCACGGCCUCGUCGCCCCGCGGGAGGCCCCGCAGCCGGGGUUGUUUCGUGUCUCGGGAGGCGGUGCACCCGGGUCUGCCUUCCACUCUGAUAGCAAGCAUGGUGAGAUGGACCCGCAAGUAGAUCUGCAGGAUUUUUAGAUCCCUAGAAACCGUGGUGCUUCUGGAAAGCCUUUGAUUCUGAGCUCACCAAAAGACUCCAGAUUCACAAUUUAUGUUUCUUAAGCUCUGCAAGUAAGUGAUGUGACUGUGGAACUAAGUCUUUGACUUUUCCCAAGGGUAGAAUCUGCUUGUUUAGAGAAUUGUAGAGGUGGAAGAAAAAUUGUGAAUUGGUACUAUGAGGUACUAAUGUUUACUAGCUAAUACUCUGCCUUAGAGAAAUCAACU
rnacentral:lncRNA from 1 species